AGAGUUUGAUCCUGGCUCAGGACGAACGCUGGCGGCGUGCCUAACACAUGCAAGUCAACUUGACGGAAGGAGCAAUCUGACCGUAGAGUGGCGCACGGGUGCGUAACGCGUAAGUAACUUGCCCCAAGGUAAGGAAUAACGUCGAGAAAUCGGCGCUAAUACCUCAUAAUGCACCGGAUCCGCGUGGAUAUGUUGUUAAAGGUUUACCGCCUUGGGAUAGGCUUGCGUCUGAUUAGCUAGUUGGUGUGGUAACGGCACACCAAGGCUACGAUCAGUAACUGGUCUGAGAGGAUGAUCAGUCACACUGGAACUGAGACACGGUCCAGACUCCUACGGGAGGCAGCAGUGAGGAAUAUUGGGCAAUGCUCGAAAGAGUGACCCAGCAACGCCGCGUGGAGGAUGAAGGUAUUCUAUAUCGUAAACUCCUGUGAGAGCAGACGAAAGACAGAUUAUUAAUCUGGAUGACUGUAUGCUCAGAGGAAGCCCCGGCUAACUACGUGCCAGCAGCCGCGGUAAUACGUAGGGGGCAAGCGUUGUCCGGAUUCACUGGGUGUAAAGGGCGCGUAGGCGGGAUAACAAGUCAGUGGUGAAAUCUUGCAGCUCAACUGCAAAACUGCCAUUGAUACUGCUGUUCUUGAAUGUGGAAGAGAGAGGCGGAAUUCCAGGUGUAGUAGUGAAAUACGUAGAUAUCUGGAAGAACACCAAUUGCGGAGGCUGCUUCUUGGUCCAUUAUUGACGCUGAGGCGCGAAAGCGUGGGGAGCAAACAGGGAUUAGAUACCCUGGGUAGUCCACGCUGUAAACGAUGAUCACUCGCUGUUUGGCGAUAUACAGUCAGUGGCUAAAGCGAAAGUGAUAAGUGAUCACCUGGGGAGUACGACCGCAAGGUUGAAACUCAAGGAAUUGACGGGGGCCCGCACAAGCGGAGGAGCAUGUGGUUUAUUUCGAUGAAUACCCGAGGAAACCUUUACCAGGGGCUCGAACGUUCAGCGAUUUAACGGGGAAACCGGGAAAUCCUUUCGGGGCCGGUGAACGAAGGUGCUGCCAUGGUUGUCGUCAACUCUGUGCCGUGAAGGGGUCAGGGUUAAAGUCCUAAUAAACGAGGGGCAACCUCCUUAUUCCUUUAGUUUGCCAUUCAAGGUUAAAGCCUGGCAACCUCUACGGGGAGACCUGCCUUACGCAGAGUUAAGAAGCAAAGUGUGGGGGGAAUACAUGCUCCAAAAAUCAGCACCAG
rnacentral:rRNA from 1 species